rnacentral:rRNA from 1 species
GCAGUAGCCGCGGUAAUACGUAGGGGGCAAGCGUUAAUCGGAAUUACUGGGCGUAAAGCGCACGCAGGCGGUUUGUUAAGUCAGAUGUGAAAUCCCCGAGCUUAACUUGGGAACUGCAUUUGAAACUGGCAAGCUAGAGUCUUGUAGAGGGGGGUAGAAUUCCAGGUGUAGCGGUGAAAUGCGUAGAGAUCUGGAGGAAUACCGGUGGCGAAGGCGGCCCCCUGGACAAAGACUGACGCUCAGGUGCGAAAGCGUGGGGAGCAAACAGGAUUAGAUACCCCUGUAGUCCCUGUCUCUUAUAC